rnacentral:lncRNA from 1 species
GGAGACUUGUGACAAAGCCUAUUGUUAAAACUUCUUUUCGAAACUUUAAACAUUUUAACUGUAUGAAUUAUUUCAAACUUCCAGUAGAGAUUGGAAAGCCAGAUAGAGUUUCGGGACCUACGGCUAUUUAAUCUUGCUAUGUUGGGAAAAGAGGGUUGGAGACUCGUGACAAAGCCUAUUGUUAAAACUUCUUUCGAAACUUUAAACAUAUUAACUGACCUUGUACUUUCAACUUUCAUGUCAAAACACCCUAUUGUUAUUAUUUUGGAUUAUGAAUAUUUCUUCAAAUAUUAUUAGAAAUAUUUUCCCCCCAAAUAUUGGUAUCUCAAAAAUUAUAUCUGAGUCUUGUAAAAAGAAACCACUUAGC